rnacentral:rRNA from 1 species
ACGUGUUACAAUGGGGGGUACAGAGGGCCGCUACCACGCGAGUGGAUGCCAAUCCCUAAAACCCCUCUCAGUUCGGACUGGAGUCUGCAACCCGACUCCACGAAGCUGGAUUCGCUAGUAAUCGCGCAUCAGCCACGGCGCGGUGAAUACGUUCCCGGGCCUUGUACACACCGCCCGUCAAGCCAUGGGAGCCGGGGGUACCUGAAGUGUGUAACCGCGAGGAUCGCCCUAGGGUAAAACUGGUGACUGGGGCUAAGUCGUAACAAGGUAUC